CCGCGAUUGACGUCAUGCGAAGUGAGGUUAGGUUGGGUCGCCGACCCCAGCUGCGCGCGGAAGUUCGCCCGGGAAAUUUUUAACGGGACGAGUCUUCGUUCCCGAUGUAAUCCCGUCUUCGCCGAGGAGGACUAGAACAAAGGACAUUAAUAGGAUGGCUAUGGAAUUAGGAAAGUUGGAGAUUGCUCCGCUCGCCUUCCAGCAGACGUCCAGCUUGCAAUUGGACGCCAAUUGGCCGAACUGGCUCUUCAGGAACUCCCAAUCGCAAAGACCGACUUGACAGCCACUGUAUCGUACUGGUUUCUCCGACAAGUAAAACAUUACCUUGUUGCGGUUAUUUCUGUCGUUGCAUCUGCAA